UAUCGAUUUCCGUGCAGCUAUGAUUGA
rnacentral:sRNA from 1 species